GUUCGGAUAGAUCAGACUCUUCGUUGGCCUCGUUUUUAGGUGUUUGAUCCGUGACGUUUCGUCGAAAAAUCACAAGCGCGCAUGCCGUAGGUGUUGGCCUGGUUGCAAGAUCUUGCCGAUUUCAACGUUUUUCCACCUCUUCGGUAAGUACUUGACAUGCCUGGAUUACUGCAAUCAGCACGUUCUUAGCACUUUCUUCUUUGGCUCCCCACCGCGCGCAGGUUGGCGUACGCUGAACUGGACCCUCGCAGCAAGAAUGGCACGUGGGACUGCCUCUGCGAACCCCGCUCCUGGACAACAGCUGGGAGGCUCUGUGUUUAAACGCGUGCACCUUGGACGUCAUGCUCCUGCCUCUGCAAGCCCUUUUGCUGGACGCCAUGUAAGGCCCUCCACUCGAAAGUGUGCACCUUAGACUACACGCUCAUCAAUACCAAGUUCUCUGUCCUUCUCGGCAUGAUUGUAGUGCCAUAUAAUAGUGAGGCAAUAAAUCAUUUUUGCUGGUCA